rnacentral:rRNA from 1 species
GUCUAAGGCCAUACCACCCUGAACACGCCCAAUCUCCUCUGAUCUUGGAAGCUAAGCAGGGUCGGGCCUGGUUAGUACUUGGAUGGGAGAAAUACUGCUCAUUUCUUCU